rnacentral:misc_RNA from 1 species
CAACAAAAUGGCAGAAUCGGUGAUAAGUGUAGCGUCUCAGUCUUCGCUUCUUCUUCUAGAGCCUUCCAAGUUUGGAUUUCCAAAUUACGCCAAUCCAUCGAAGUUCCUGCGCCUGCAGCAAUCUUCGACCGAGAAGGGAAACUACCGAUUCGUUGUUUCUUCUGGUAAGCAUUUGAAGCCGCUUGUCGCUGCUAGGGUUGUCUCUUCGGGUCUCGAAUCGUCUACGCUUGUUAACGAUAGGGUUGACUUGUUAACCGAAGGCAUCGAGGUUGAACCGGAUUCCGGAGGCGGCGGUGACGGUUAUGGUGAUAUAGGAGGUCGCGGCGG